UACGGAGGAUGCGAGCGUUAUCCGGAUUUAUUGGGUUUAAAGGGUGCGUAGGCGGAAGUUCAAGUCAGCGGUAAAAUCGAGGGGCUCAACCCCUUUAAGCCGUUGAAACUGGGUUUCUUGAGUGGGCGAGAAGUGUGCGGAAUGUGUGGUGUAGCGGUGAAAUGCAUAGAUAUCACACAGAACUCCGAUUGCGAAGGCAGCACACCGGCGCCCAACUGACGCUGAGGCACGAAAGCGUGGGGAUCAAA
rnacentral:rRNA from 1 species